UUAAAUAUUUUUAUUUUAUUUUAAACUGAUCGGCGAUUGGCCCUAGUCACACCUGAUGGAAAUUGAAAACAGGGCCUAUAAUUGAGCUCACCGGUUCAGUAAUAGCCUAGUCACUCUUGCUUUAAAGAGACCGAGGUCAUAUUGAUCAGGGAAUACAGAUGGCGGGAGCGCAUUGCAUUCUUUAGCCGUCCGUA